UACAGAGGGUGCAAGCGUUGUUCGGAAUUAUUGGGCGUAACGAGCUCGUAGGCGGCCUGUUGCGUCCGCUGUGAAAGCCCGGGGCUUAACCCCGGGUCGGCAGUGGAUACGGGCAGGCUAGAGGUAGGUAGGGGAGAAUGGAAUUCCCGGUGUAGCGGUGAAAUGCGCAGAUAUCGGGAGGAACACCGGUGGCGAAGGCGGUUCUCUGGGCCUUACCUGACGCUGAGGAGCGAAAGCGUGGGGAGCGAACAGG
rnacentral:rRNA from 1 species